rnacentral:lncRNA from 1 species
GGAAUCACUCCUGAAAUGUUGUUUUCACUCAAAUAUAACCCACCUAACUUUGAUAAUCUUCCUAUUGAUUGUGGAAUACUCCCCGUUAAGAAGUUGACUUCAAAAUUAAGAUGUAUCAUGUUGACAAGUUUUCCGAUUUCAUGAGGUAUGCUUCCGUAUAUGUGGUUCCCAUACAGAUACAGGUCUUCCACAGUGGUGGAGAGAUUUGCAAUGGAACUAGGGAGCUCCCCUCUUAAACUAUUCUCGUGUAAGCCCAACGUCCUUAGAUGGGUACAAUUAACCAAGGAAUUGAAAAAGCUCCAUUCAUUAGACUGCAUAUUCUCUCCAAGUGGAUUAUGACCCAGCGCUAGCCAUUCAAUAUUAAGAAGGCUACCCAAAUUUUUUGGUAUAGGCCCAAUUAUGUUGUUAAAUGAUAGGUCAAGGAUGACAAGAUUGGAUGCAUUAGCUAUCGAAGGUGGAAGAGGGCCCGUAAAAGUGUUAUUUCCAGCGGAGAACUGUUGCAGUCUGGGAAGCUGGGUGAAGCCAAAACCUGGUGGAAGCGUUCCUUUAAACCUAUUAUCUUCUAGACCAAGAGAAAGGAGGGACGAAAUGUUGUAAAGUGGUAGGGGAACCAUACCUGACAACCUGUUUCCUGACAAACCAAGAACCUCUAGUUUUGUGAGAUGAGCCACUUCCUGAGGUAUCUCCCCAACUAAAGUAUUAUCAGCUAAAUAAAGAGCACGAAGAGAUGAUAUGUUCCCUAUUGAAGGUGGGAUGGAUCCAUCAAAAUGGUUCCGCGCAACAGAAAACACAUUAAGCUUAGACCAGGAAGAAAAAUCAGUGGGCAGUNGCGAAUGUUCCUUAAUGUUUCACACUCUGCCAAAAAUGUCUUGUUGGCUCCAUGUAUUUCACCGUUUAGUACCUUCACAGCAACUAAGUGUUCCACUGAUUCAAGAUGUCCUUUGUAAACAGAACCAUAUCUUCCUUCACCGAUCAAAUUGUCCGGAGAAAACUCAUUUGUAGCUAGUAGAAGGUCUUGGUAUGAAAGUUUGGGAUAGUGGUCAUCCUUCAAUCCUGAAACAGGCUCAUUCAACUUCUUGUAAUUUAGACGUCGGUAUGAAAUUAAAGCAAGACAUGCUAACAAGACACCAAGGGGUACAAGAACUAAGAUCAGUAUUGUUCUUAAGGCAAAUGUUUUUUUCUUCUUCCUGGAAACUUUGUCUGGACAAGAAGGCAAAUGCAGUGCUUGAACACCUCCACAAAGUUCCCAAUUUCCAACGACUGAAAAAGUGCUAACUUUUGAAAACAGACCUUCCUUUGAAACUUCACCUUCAAGCUUGUUAUGCGACAGAUUGAGGAAUAUAAUUUGAUGAAACCCAUCAAAAAAACUUGGAAUACUCCCAGAGAUGUUAUUGUUGGAAAUAUCUAGAUAUGCAAGAUUUUUCAAAGCUUUGAAAGAGGAUGGAAUUUUACCUUGGAAAAGGUUUCCUCCCAUAUAUAGCUCCUCCAACAUCAAACAUCCUUCAAGAGUGGCGGGUAUAUCUCCUGUUAGUUUGUUAUAUGAAAGAUCUAGUCUAGCCAAAUGUUUCAAGCUUCCAAUGUUGGAUGGAAGUGGACCGGUGACUAAAUUCUGAGACAAAUUAAGGGAAAUACAAUGAGAAAGAAACACAAUUUCUUCGGGUAUUACCCCUCUAAGCAUGUUGUUAGCGAGGAAUAGGUCCUCUAGAGUUGAGAUGUUAAACAAUUUAGUGGGUAUGCUUCCUUGGAGCACAUUACCAUCUAAAUAGAGUUCAACUAAGUUAGUAAUGUUGCUAAAGGAAGUUGGAAUCACUCCUGAAAUGUUGUUUUCACUCAAAUAUAACCCACCUAACUUUGAUAAUCUUCCUAUUGAUUGUGGAAUACUCCCCGUUAAGAAGUUGACUUCAAAAUUAAGAUGUAUCAUGUUGACAAGUUUUCCGAUUUCAUGAGGUAUGCUUCCGUAUAUGUGGUUCCCAUACAGAUACAGGUCUUCCACAGUGGUGGAGAGAUUUGCAAUGGAACUAGGGAGCUCCCCUCUUAAACUAUUCUCGUGUAAGCCCAACGUCCUUAGAUG